rnacentral:tRNA from 1 species
GGGUUUAGCUCAGUUGGUAGAGCAUCGGUCUCCAAAACCGAGGGUCGUGAGUUCGAGUCUCUCAGCC